ensembl:lncRNA
AUGGGAGGUGCCACCUUGCCUGCGUCCGUGGUCUGUGGGCAGCCAGAGGGAUGCUCCAGCAAUGGGGAUGGAGAUGUUCUGCACUGGACCCCUGGGAGCAACACCUGCCCCGUGGCAGAGCCCCACCAGGGUGGAGAUGAAGCAAGGAGAGGGGGCUGGCCAGCAACACGAGGCGGCCGCCCCAUACCCCGGGGCAGCAGUGGCAGGAGCACAGGGCCUGGCAUGGCAGAGCCCUGCUCCCGUGCCCACGGGGGACGUCACAGCUGUGUCUGCAGCAGCACUGCCCCCGGGCAGCAGGAGGGGCAGGUAUCCUCCGAGGGGACACGGGGUGUCACGCCCAGCAAGCCUUGUCCUCUGCCAGGGGACGUCGACGCAGCAGAUGAAGUGGUUUUCUGCAAGGACACAGCAGCCUUUCAGAAGGUAGCGAAUGCUUUCUCUGAGUUACUCAGUUACACGUUCCAAACUCCCAAACUACACAAAUCUCCUGAGAAAAUGCAAGUCAGUCAGAGAGAAAUCUUGGAGCCACUUCAAACGUUUUGCCAAUAAUUCAUGCAAUGAGAUUAAAAAAGCCAUUUCUUCCUUUGCCAAGUACACAGAGACCAGAGUGUUCCCUAUUGUGUAGGAACAUCACAGCAUGUAGCACUUGACAAGGAAAGGUCACCGGGGAGGGGCCACGACUCCUUUUUUAAGAGGCUGCUACCGGUGUCCUUUGGAAAAACUGGUUUUACUCUGUAGCAAAAGCCAUAAUUGAACGCCCGGCUAACCGGGCUGAAAUACCUGCCUGCGGUUUCUUUUAAAAAGACUCUGCUGGAGGGUUCUGUGCUCUCUCUCCGACCUGGGCCCCAUCCUCCAGCAGCGUAAAUCAGCAGACACCCAUUGAUUUGUCCUGCCUGAGCAUUUCAGUGCUCUGACUCCACACUGCAGCAUGUGCAAUGGACCAGGGGCAGAAACCAGCUGAGAGCAGGGACUUGGGUUCAAAGAAGUCUCAGGGUCCUGGACUUCCAGAGACGCAUGGCAUCUCUGUCAAGGGACGAGACCAGAGACUAGCCCUUAGAUGAUGCAGGGCAGGGAGAGACAGAAAGUAGAAGCCAUAGCCAAAUGGCCAUAAAUCUAGCGAUGCUUCCCAAAAUGCUGCUUCAGACACACUGAGUGGUGGAUGAGGAGGAUCUUUUAGUGUGUGAGUCAAUUCUGUUAUUCUCUAAGACAACAAUUGCAGCCCCACAGAAAUCCAGCCACAGGGAACAGACAGGCUUCUGCAAGAUGCAACAUGAAGAAUUUCUCAGUAAACAUGUAGAAAAACCUCUGAAAGCAGAGUUUGCUGAACCUACCCACAAGCUUAUCAGGUGGGAUAGGAGAGUUGUUGGAAACCUUUGCCAAAAGAUUUAAACCACGACUGUUGUUUAAGGAUGGCUCAUGAGACACCACAACAGAAACACAGAUCCCAAAUCCCCUCCCAUUGUAAUCAAAAUGGAGCCAUUUCAUCAUGACUGAUUUCAUUGUGUCAUUAUCAAUUUAUGCCAUGCAAAGUGAGAGAUGACCCUCAGUCCCCAGGGGGUUUAGAAAAUGUGGGAGUGCGAGGAGCAUAUCAGGGGGCUCUGAAAAUACCACUCGGAGCUGUCUGUAGAAAUACCACAACAACCUCAGACAUGCAACAUCCUUGUAGUGCCACACAACAGCAUGACAAAGGCACGGGUGUUAGAGGAUCCAUGGAAAUAAGAACGCAGGAAAUACCAUGCUGUCCAGCCAGUGGUCUGUCUAAGCCCAUAACCUGCCUCCAACAGUGAGUGUAAUUCAGAAAAACACCCAAACUCUGCAAGAGGUAAUUAUAUAACAAGGUACAAGUAACAAGAUUUUCGUGCAACUUCCUCCCAGACACUGCUAGUUUUCAGCUGGUUGCUCUGCAGAGCAAAACCCAUCCCAGACUUGACCGUACCUUUACAAUUUGGGAUGUCCGUGUAAUUCAUCUGAAACAGCUCACCUCAUUUUGUAUCUCUCCAAGAUCACGGCCUCAUCAAAUCAUCAUACUGAGGACUUCCACGAAUAACAGUGCACUGGGCUGAAAUUAAACAAACAAACAAAUAAAUAAAUAAAUAAAAGUGUUCGUCUGCCA